GCCUACGGGGGGCUGCAGUGGGGAAUAUUGGACAAUGGGCGAAAGCCUGAUCCAGCCAUGCCGCGUGGGUGAAGAAGGCCUUAGGGUUGUAAACCCCUUUCAGCGGGGAAGAUAAUGACGGUACCCGCAGAAGAAGCCCCGGCUAACUCCGUGCCAGCAGCCGCGGUAAUACGGAGGGGGCUAGCGUUGUUCGGAAUUACUGGGCGUAAAGCGCGCGUAGGCGGACUUUCAAGUCAGGGGUGAAAUCCCGAGGCUCAACCUCGGAACUGCCUCUGAUACUGUAAGUCUUGAGUCCGAGAGAGGUGAGUGGAAUUCCUAGUGUAGAGGUGAAAUUCGUAGAUAUUAGGAAGAACACCAGUGGCGAAGGCGGCUCACUGGCUCGGUACUGACGCUGAGGCGCGAAAGCGUGGGGAGCAAACAGGAUUAGAUACCCGUGUAGUC
rnacentral:rRNA from 1 species